GCCAGACUCCUACGGGAGGCAGCAGUGGGGAAUAUUGCACAAUGGGGGGAACCCUGAUGCAGCGACGCCGCGUGGGUGAAGGAGCGUUUCGGCGCGUAAAGCCCUAUCGGCAGGGAAGAAGGAGGACGGUACCUGACUAAGAAGCCCCGGCUAACUACGUGCCAGCAGCCGCGGUAAUACGUAGGGGGCAAGCGUUAUCCGGAUUUACUGGGUGUAAAGGGGGCGCAGACGGCGAUGCAAGCCAGGAGUGAAAGCCCGGGGCCCAACCCCGGGACUGCUCUUGGAACUGCGUGGCUGGAGUGCAGGAGGGGCAGGCGGAAUUCCUGGUGUAGCGGUGAAAUGCGUAGAUAUCAGGAGGAACACCGGUGGCGAAGGCGGCCUGCUGGACUGCGACUGACGUUGAGGCCCGAAAGCGUGGGGAGCAAACAGGAUUAGAUACCCGCGUA
rnacentral:rRNA from 1 species